UACGUAGGUGGCAAGCGUUGUCCGGAUUUACUGGGUGUAAAGGGUGCGUAGGCGGUUUUUUAAGUUAGUGGUUAAACGUCGGGGCUUCACCUUGAUUUGCCAUUAAUACUGUAAGACUCGAGUUCAGACGAGGUAGGCGGAAUAAGUUAAGUAGCGGUGAAAUGCUUAGAUAUAACUUAGAACUCCGAUAGCGAAGGCAGCUUACCAGACUGCGACUGACGCUGAAGCACGAGAGCGUGGGUAGCGAACAGG
rnacentral:rRNA from 1 species